UUUAUCCAUCCUUCGGGCUUCAACCCUACAUCGAACAUCCCCCUUCACGAAUUUUAGGAGUUCAACUGAAGAUGAUGGUUAGACAAGUUCUAAGGGACUGAAGUUUACUAAAUAGAAGAAGUGAAGGAAGGGGAUGGGUGAUGGGGGACUGAAGUUCAGGUUCAACUAAAUUGAAGUUCAGGGAUACUUUAUUAUAAGAAGACAUAGGUUUUUUCUAGGUUUGAGGGGAUGAUUGAGGAAGACAAUGUGAAAAUGACAAUAAUACCCUCACAUGCGAUGCAUAUGAGGGUAGUUAACCAAGAAAAUAAACGAGGUUAAAGGCUGUAUUCUGUAUCAAAAUAUGAGCUUAAAUGUUGGGUUUGACCGAUUUCAUAGUGAAAGUUGAACACAUGUCGAAACAUCAAUGGUGAAGUCAAUAUCCACG
rnacentral:lncRNA from 1 species